rnacentral:rRNA from 1 species
AUUGAACGCUGGCGGCAUGCCUUACACAUGCAAGUCGAACGGCAGCACGGGGGCAACCCUGGUGGCGAGUGGCGAACGGGUGAGUAAUGCAUCGGAACGUGCCCAGUAGUGGGGGAUAACUAGUCGAAAGAUUAGCUAAUACCGCAUACGACCUAUGGGUGAAAGGCGGGGAGUUCGCAAGAACCUCGCGCUAUCGGAGCGGCCGAUGUCUGAUUAGCUA